AUGUUCUCUGUAGCUCUGCUGCUGCUGGCCGCUGGAUGCUGUGUGAAGUGUGAACAGCUGAAUCAGCCGGCCUCUGUGACUGUGCAGCCAGGUCAUCGUCUGACCAUCAGCUGUCAGGUUUCUUAUUCUCUCGGCUCCUACACAGCUUGGAUCCGACAACCAGCAGGGAAAGGACUGGAAUGGAUCGGCAUGAAACAUACUGCAACCUCUUACUACAAAGAUUCACUGAAAACUAAGUUCAGUAUUGACUUGGACACUUCCAGUAAAACAGUGACUCUGAAUGGACAGAACAUGCAGCCUGAAGACUCUGCUGUGUAUUUCUGUGCCAGAAGAGACACAGUCUGUCCAUCACCUGUCGGGUCUCUUAUUCUGUUGGAGACCGUCACACACACUGGGUCAGACAGCCUGCAGGAAAAGGACCGGAGUGGGUUGGAGGUGCACGUGUUGGAUAAACUGUAG